AGGGGUGUCGCGGAGUCGACGCUAGGAAGGCCGGAGGGCCCAAAAGGGGUGUCGCGGAGUCGACGCUAGGAAGGCCGGAGGGCCCAAAGGGGUGUCGCGGAGUCGACGUUAGGAAGGCCGGGAGGCCUAAAGGGGUGUCGCGGAGUCGACGUUAGGAAGGCCGGAGGGCCCAAAAGGGAUGUCGCGGAGUCGACGAUAGGAAGGCCGGAGGGCCCAAAAGGGGUGUCACGGAGUCGACGAUAGGAAGGCCGGAGGGCCCAAAAGGGUUGUCACGGCGUCGACGAUAGGAAGGCCGGAGGGCCCAAAAGGGGUGUCGCGGAGUCGACGCUAGGAAGGCCGGAGGGCCCAAAAGGGUUGUCGCGGAGUCGACGCUAGGAAGGCCGGAGGGCCCAAAAGGGGUGUCGCGGAGUCGACGCUAGGAAGGCCGGAGGGCCCAAAAGGGGUGUCGCGGAGUCGACGCUAGGAAGGCCGGAGGGCCCAAAGGGGUGUCGCGGAGUCGACGUUAGGAAGGCCGGAGGGCCCAAAAGGGGUGUCACGGAGUCGACGAUAGGAAGGCCGGAGGGCCCAAAGGGGUGUCGCGGCGUCGACGAUAGGAAGGCCGGAGGGCCCAGAAGGGGUGUCGCGGAGUCGACGCUAGGAAGGCCGGAGGGCCCAAAGGGGUGUCGCGGAGUCGUCGUUAGGAGGGCCGGGAGGCCCAAAAGGGGUGUCGCGGAGUCGACGAUAGGAAGGCCGGAGGGCCCAAAAGGGAUGUCGCGGAGUCGACGAUAGGAAGGCCGGAGGGCCCAAAAGGGGUGUCACGGAGUCGACGCUAGGAAGGCCGGAGGGCCUGAAAGGGGUGUCGCGGAGUUGACGCUAGGAAGGCCGGAGGGCCCAAAAGGGGUGUUGCGGAGUCGUCGAUAGGAAGGCCGGAGGGCCCAAAAGGGGUGUCGCGGAGUCGACGAUAGGAAGGCCGGGAGGCCCAAAAGGGUUGUCGCGGCGUCGACGCUAGGAAGGCCGGAGGGCCCAAAAGGGGUGUCGCGGAGUCGACGCUAGGAAGGCCGGAGGGCCCAAAAGGGGUGUCGCGGAGUCGACGCUAGGAAGGCCGGAGGGCCCAAAAGGGAUGUCGCGGAGUCGACGAUAGGAAGGCCGGAGGGCCCAAAAGGGGUGUCGCGGAGUCGACGAUAGGAAGGCCGGAGGGCCCAAAGGGGUGUCGCGGAGUCGACGAUAGGAAGGCCGGAGGGCCCAAAGGGGUGUCGCGGAGUCGACGCUAGGAGGGCCGGGAGCCUGAAGGGGUGUCGCGGAGUCGACGCUAGGAAGGCCGGAGGGCCCAAAAGGGAUGUCGCGGAGUCGACGAUAGGAAGGCCGGAGGGCCCAAAAGGGGUGUCGCGGAGUCGACGAUAGGAAGGCCGGAGGGCCCAAAAGGGGUGUCGCGGAGUCGACGAUAGGAAGGCCGGAGGGCCCAAAAGGGGUGUCGCGGAGUCGACGAUAGGAAGGCCGGAGGGCCCAAAGGGGUGUCGCGGAGUCGACGAUAGGAACGCCGGAGGGCCCAAAAGGGGUGUUGCGGAGUCGACGUUAGGAAGGCCGGAGGGCCCAAAAGGGGUGUCGCGGAGUUGACAAUAGGAAGGCCGGAGGGCCCAAAAGGGUUGUCACGGCGUCGACGAUAGGAAGGCCGGAGGGCCCAAAAGGGGUGUCACGGAGUCGACGAUAGGAAGGCCGGAGGGCCCAAAAGGGGUGUCGCGGAGUCGACGCUAGGAAGGCCGGAGGGCCCAAAAGGGAUGUCGCGGAGUCGACGAUAGGAAGGCCGGAGGGCCCAAAGGGGUGUCGCGGAGUCGACGCUAGGAAGGCCGGAGGGCCCAAAGGGGUGUCGCGGAGUCGACGU
rnacentral:lncRNA from 1 species